AGUGAACGCUGGCGGUAGGCCUAACACAUGCAAGUCGAACGGCAGCACAGUAAGAGCUUGCUCUUACGGGUGGCGAGUGGCGGACGGGUGAGGAAUACAUCGGAAUCUACUUUUUCGUGGGGGAUAACGUAGGGAAACUUACGCUAAUACCGCAUACGACCUACGGGUGAAAGCAGGGGAUCUUCGGACCUUGCGCGAUUGAAUGAGCCGAUGUCGGAUUAGCUGGUUGGCGGGGUUAAGGCCCACCAAGGCGACGAUCCGCAGCUGGUCGGAGAGGAGGGUAGCCGGCAUGGGAGGUGGGACACGCACAAGGGUCCUGAGGGACGCAGCAGUGGGGAAUAUUAGGCAAUAGGCGCAAGCCUGAUCCAGCCAUACCGCGUCUGUGGCAAAGGCGUCGCGGUUGUAAAGCCCUUUUUUUGGGAAAGAAAAGCAGCAGGUUGAUACCCCGCUGUUCUGACGGUACCCAAUGAAUAAGCACCGGCUAACUUCGUG
rnacentral:rRNA from 1 species